rnacentral:SRP_RNA from 2 species
GUUGGGCAUGGUGGCGCACGCCUGUAAUCCCAGCUACUCGGGAGACUGAGGUGGGAGAAUUGCUUGAACCCAGGAGACAGAGGUUGCAGUGAGCCGAGAUCUUACCACUGCACUCCAGCCUGGGUGACAGAGCGAGACUCCAUCUCAA